UACCAAAAUGGAAUCUAUAAUUUGUGUAUGC
rnacentral:piRNA from 1 species